CAAGUACUCCCUCCGUCCGAAAAUACUUGUCAUCAAAAUGGAUAAAAAAGAUGUAUCUAGAACUAAUAUACAUCUAGAUACAUCCCGUUUUAUUCAUUUUGAUGACAAGUAUUUCCAGACGGAGGGAGUACUAC
rnacentral:pre_miRNA from 1 species